ensembl:snRNA U6 U6 spliceosomal RNA
GUGUUCGCUUUGGCAGCACAUCACUAAAACUGGAACAGCGUAGAGACUAGCAUGGCCCCUUUGGUAGGAUGACACACAAAUUUGUGAAGUAUUCCGUUAAAAA